GACGGUAUAGCUCAAUGGUAGAGAGCGUGAUUAGCAUGCACGAGGUCCUGGGUUUAAUCGCCAGUACCGCCA
rnacentral:tRNA from 1 species